rnacentral:lncRNA from 1 species
AAAGUGAAAAUUUAACUUUCAUGGCUGCUGAUUGGGGUCUUGGGAUUAUGAGGAGAUUAACACUAGAUUAUGACGGCAAUCUCAGGUUAUACAGUCUGAACAAUUCAAGCGGAACAUGGUCAGUCACAUGGAUGGCAUUUCCUCAGCUCUGCAAUGUACGUGGUGUGUGUGGUAUAAAUGGCAUAUGUGUGUACACACCUGUGCCUGCCUGUGCGUGUCCUCCCGGUUAUGACUUCAUUGAUCCAAGUGAUCAGAGCAAAGGCUGCAGCCCAAGAGUCAAUAUCACUUGUGAUGUACAACAGAAGGUAAUGUUUGUUAGCCUUCCAAACACUCAAUUCCUAGAUUCUGAUUUAAGUCCUCUUCGUUAUGUUUCUCUUGGAGCUUGCGAGAACAUAUGCUUGAAGGACUGCAAUUGUAUGGGGUUUGUAUAUUGGCAAGGAAUUGGUAAGUGCUAUCCAAAGUCCGUUCUUCUUAGUGGUGUAAGCUUACCUCACAUUGGUAGUACUGGCACCAUGUAUCUCAAGCUCCCUAUGGAAGAAGUGUUGGAG